rnacentral:lncRNA from 1 species
CCUCGGCCACUCAGCCUUCCGCCCAAGGACAAAUGGGGUCAGGGCAGCAGCUGUACCUGGCGAGAAUGCACUCCCUUCCUGGGGGGCCACUUUUUUCCAGGAGUGCAUGGCCCUGGGCUGGCUGCUGAGACCUGUGCCCAGCCCCUCCGUGGUGGUACUCUCGUCAGACACCAGCCUCUGCGGCACCCAGGGUGGAGGUCCUGCUAUCUCCUCUCUGCAGAUGAGGAGUUCUCUCAUCCGAACCUCACGGCUCAAGGAACAGAAAGCUGGACCAACGGUGGUCAAAUACAGUGGGCGCUUAACUACCUCAUGGGAGUGAAUGGAAAGGAGUUCCCAAGGACCCCGGGUUCUAGCCCCAGGGCCCUGUGGAUGGAUCUCACGUGGAAAGGGGGCUUUGCCUCUCAAGGAUCUGGCGAUGCGGAGAGCAGCCUGGGUUAUCCUGCAGCCACGAGAAUCUAAUACAUUCAUGAAAGGAGCCUGGAGGUGGGUGGCACCGGCGUUGAGAAGGAGGUAAUGACAUCACCCAGGGCCCUGGCUCCUUUCCCUCAGUCAUCCUUGAAUGUUGGCUACUUGUUCUCUGGCUCCUGACCUCACAGUCACAAGACGGCUGCCACUGCUCCAGGCGUCCCAUCCUCACACGACAGCCUCUGAAGCAGAGAGUGAGAAAGGGUGGGUGUGGCUUCUCCUUGUAUGGGUCUAUCUUUCAUCAAGGAGGAAAGCCUUUCUCAGAAGCCCAUCAGUGCACUUCCCAGGCUACAUCCAAGCAAGGUCCCAUAGCUAUCCUGGGCCCAUCCAUGGCAAAGGGAAUAGGUUGACCUGAUGGGCUUAGACCAGUCACAGGUCAUCUACUGGGCUAGGCCCACGCUCCCCAGGCACAAGCAGGUUCUGUUGGCAAGGAUAGGAGGGGGAUGGGGGCUGGGGUCAGUCGCGGUCAUGGAGUUGUGGGGAGUGCCUGGACCGAGAGAGUGAGAGGCAGGAUGGCUGCAGUGUGACCUCCUGGGUCCCCCACCACCCAGCUGCCCCCACACACACCCAUAAACACCCAUAUUUGGAGAGGCACUGCCUAGGAUGUCCUCAGCCACUACCCUACAGGGCUCCACACCUUUCUGGUACCACAUAGGCAGGCACUCUGCCCACACAGGUCCCUGCCCACGGGCCCUCUGCGCACCUGCUCCUCCCUGAGUGUUUCCUUCCAUGACUCCCAACAGUCUUGGGGGGAAAUCAGGCCCCGUCACUGUGACAUUAACACUGUAGGACUUUGAGCCCCAUCAGGCCCACGGGAGAGCUUCCUCCUCCUCCUGUUUCCUGGGGCUGCCUGGGCGUUUCAGCUUCACUUUCUCUUCUGCACAGGCAUGGAGUGGCAUCACGGUUCAAAGCUGGCAGCCCCUGGUCCCCAGACUGCACCGGGCCAGUUCCAGCUUCUGGGGCCUGAGAGGCACGGGCCUCGGGUUCCCUGUGAGAAUUGUUCCUGGUGAUAGACCUGUGGGCUCUCUGGGGGCUGAGCGAGAGCCGUCCUAACGGGGAGAUGGCCCAUCCAGGGCCAACACGGCACCUGUGCGUUCUCCCAUCCUCCUUCCCAAGGGAGUCCUGGCCAGGCCCCUCUCCUGUGUCCGAGGAGUCUUGCCAGCCCUCAUGGUCUGUGUCACGAUCUGCAGUAGCUGUCCCAUCAGGGCUGAUCUGGAAGGAGCCUUUCCUCCACAUGGCUUUUCCCAAGUCAGCCCUCAAGUGCUGUGAGCCUGGACCGCGCCCCUGUCCUCCAGGCAGCUGCCUGCACUCCACACCCAUGCGCGUGGCAGCUCUGCGCCCAGCAGCCCUCCUGGUGUGAUUUUUAUUUAUUUACCUGAAUACUGGAACAGCUGCUUUAUUGAGAUUCAUUGGUCGCAAGGCUUAAUUAAAAUAAUGCCACGCGUCUCACUCAGCGUGGGUCACCAAAGCAAAUGUUUGUUUUGCUGCUGUCAGUUAGGGCCACGUGUGAUGAAGCGGCGGCUCCCGGCAGGGAAGGCACGUGGGCCCUGACCCCCUGCACCUCCCUGGGUUGCA